rnacentral:rRNA from 1 species
CCCUUAGAUGUCCUGGGCCGCACGCGCGCUACACUGAUGCAGGCAAUAAGUUACCGUUUUCGAGAGAUUAUGGGAAUCUGAAAACUGCAUCGUGCUGGGGAUUGACUCUUGUAAUUUUUAGUCAUCAACGAGGAAUACCUAGUAAGCGCAAGUCAUCAGCUUGCACUGAUUACGUCCCUGCCCUUUGUACACACCGCCCGUCGCUCCUACCGAUUGGGUGAUUCGGUGAGCCUUUCGGAUCGGUGCCUAGCACUGAAAAGUCAUGCAAAUCUAAUCACUUAGAGGAAGGAGAAGUCGUANCA